AAUUCACCCUGCUGCCGAACUCCUACCCUGAGAGAAAAUCUGAGAAGCUGAGAGGUCAGACAGAACUUACUGGUUGGAGUUGUGGUCCUCGGCUGAUGGGCCUGCGAGAGAGAAACACCCAGACACAAAGGAACCCAUGGGGACAUGUGUGACUGUUGCUUUCAGUCACAAUGUUUCAUCACGAGGAGAGUAACCCUAGUGAAGACAGCACCUAUGCUGCCAAGUGAUUAUUGUUUCUUCCACGUCGAGGUACAGAAGCUACAAAUGAAGAAGCCUUCCAUCCAUCUUUUCUGGGCUGCCCACUGGCUCUGAUCUGUUAUCUUCCCUGACAUCUUUCCUGGGGCUUCUGUGGUAGAGAUCACAACAUUUGCAAACCACCUUAGCUCUUGACCUAACUUUGUCUGCAACAUAAAAACCUUCUAUAUGCCCCAGAAAGUUGGGUUGGAGAUACAUCGAAUUCUUUUACAUACAUGAUCUACAGCAUUUUAUCAAAAUGUACAGUCACAAGAGCCUAAAGCGGCACCCCCUAUUGAGAGACCGACACAUUUCUCCAGAACAAUCCAGCCAGAGACACUCCAGGAACAUACCUACCUCUCUUCUAGGAAUGCUUGCUCUAAAAAAUCUCCUUUCUUUGGGAGCACUCUUCUCCCAGUGACACAGCCCCAGAGACAUCCUUCUCUUAGGGGCACCCCUCUUUAGAGGCACCCCUCUUCAAGAUACAGAGAGUCUAAAUGUGGCAGUCACAGCCUUUGUAGAUGCUUUCAGCUAUAUUAACCCUUUAAGUCUCAUAGCUAUGCAGUGCACAGUGUAUCACUAUCCCUAUUUUGAAAACAAAAUCAAACCAAGUUUCAGAAUGAAUCAAUAGGCCAGGUAAAACCUUGUACUUCUGAGACUUGUGUACUUUCCAUUUUCUCACCAUGACCCAAGUCACUCACUACAUAUUCCACAGGGAAACACAACUACAGAACUGAAAUGUGCCGGUUCUGAACUUGUCCCUCCAAAGGAUCCUAAAACUCUGCUUCAAGCACAUGGCAGACUGUUGGAAAAGAGAGACUUACUGGAAAGCUGCAAUGUGAACAGAAUUUGAAAGAGAAAGCACUGACAUGUGCACACACCUCUAAAGUACUUGUGCUCAUUUAACCUUCCCGCACCACCAUCUCCAGGUAGAUAUACAGAAAACACAUUUCAAAACUAAACUCCUACAACUUACAAGGUGUAGCUUUCCCUUCCUGCUGGCAGGGAUGCUAAACGGCAGACAGGGGAAGUAAGGUCGCAGGAAACCUAGGUGAAAUGACGGAUAUCCGUAAGGAGACGCACAACGCCAGAUGGCAGCUAUGGAGCACGUACCCUGCCUAAGCUGUCAUUUUAGCUCAAGAUGGAUGUCCGUGGUAAACAGAGAGUAAAUGCCUUGUCAGUGUGAGACUAAAGACUCUCACCCCAGCCACUGUCUACAGUGCAGCAGUGUCAGAGCAAAUGUCUACUCAUUACAACUAUUGGCUCGGUCUCCACUCACAUCUAGUAGCCCAGGAAAGGCCCACAGCUUGCCAAUUUGACAAAUCACUAGGGUAUAACUGGCAUUCUCUUGAAUCCCAAAUUUCCAUUUACGCAAUCAUUUGCUCAUAUCCACAGAAACUUGCCAAAUUCAUUUAAAAUAUACCCACCACAUAGAUUUCCCAAAGAGCGAUUACCACCCAAAAAACAAAAAACAAAACAACAAUAACAACAAAAACCCACAGCCAUGAAGUGAAUGAGAACGGCACAGCUACCUUCCCCAGUAGGCAAUCUCUUGAGGGCCUUUCCUGUAGACAGAGUUGGUAGAAUCAUGUAGUCCAUUGCUGAUCUCGGUAGAAUAGCCCAUCACUAUCCCACCAUCUGCUGACACACUCAGGACAUCCUGAUGUCCUCCCACAGAGGUCCUCUCCAAGAACUGACCACCUUCUUUAAUGCGCUGCUGUAUCAUUGGCGUAAGCGGCAUUUCAAAGCUAAAAUAGCUAUCAGGUUCUGAGUACAGUGUCUCUAAUGACUCUGCACUGUAGUAUAAGGAAGUGUUGUCCAAAAUGGUUUCAAAUUGGCUGCUGUAUACAUCAGUGGAGUCCUCCGUAUAUCCGGGCCCAAGAAUAUCAUCAUCUCCUCCCCUAAGGUGCUCCUCUUGUUCGAGAAACCUGGAAAAUUAGUAAAAGUGAACAUUUUCAAUAUUAACUUUUUUCUUUUCACUUUCCUGCUUUCAACCAACCAUAGAGAAAAGACUGUGUUGUAUAAAUGUAACUGUUCUAUCCACCAAACUCACGGCUUAGGAACAUAUUUGGGAAGAAAGGUAUGAAACUUACUUAGGUUAAAAUAUUCUCUCUAUAUUAUUUUGUGAGUGUUUUGCCUGAAUGUAUGUAUGUGCCUCAUGAAUUUCUGGAGCCCACAGAAGUUAGAAGAGGAUAUCAGAUCCUCUGAAAUUGGA